GACGAACGCUGGCGGCGUGCUUAACACAUGCAAGUCGAACGGAAAGGCCCUGCUUUUGUGGGGUGCUCGAGUGGCGAACGGGUGAGUAACACGUGAGUAACCUGCCCUUGACUUUGGGAUAACUUCAGGAAACUGGGGCUAAUACCGGAUAGGAGCUCCUGCUGCAUGGUGGGGGUUGGAAAGUUUCGGCGGUUGGGGAUGGACUCGCGGCUUAUCAGCUUGUUGGUGGGGUAGUGGCUUACCAAGGCUUUGACGGGUAGCCGGCCUGAGAGGGUGACCGGCCACAUUGGGACUGAGAUACGGCCCAGACUCCUACGGGAGGCAGCAGUGGGGAAUAUUGCACAAUGGGCGGAAGCCUGAUGCAGCAACGCCGCGUGCGGGAUGACGGCCUUCGGGUUGUAAACCGCUUUCGCCUGUGACGAAGCGUGAGUGACGGUAUGGGUAAAGAAGCACCGGCUAACUACGUG
rnacentral:rRNA from 1 species